rnacentral:rRNA from 1 species
UGGGGAAUCUUCCGCAAUGGACGAAAGUCUGACGGAGCAACGCCGCGUGAGUGAAGAAGGUCUUCGGAUUGUAAAGCUCUGUCAACUAGGACGAAUGUGUGAUUUGUGAAUAAUGAAUCAUAAUGACGGUACUAGAGAAGGAAGCCACGGCUAACUACGUGCCAGCAGCCGCGGUAAUACGUAGGUGGCGAGCGUUGUCCGGAAUUAUUGGGCGUAAAGAGCGCGUAGGCGGGUAGAUAAGUCUGUUUUAAAAGUGCGGGGCUCAACCCCGUGAUGGAAUGGAAACUGUUUAUCUUGAGUACCGGAGAGGAAAGUGGAAUUCCCAGUGUAGCGGUGAAAUGCGUAGAUAUUGGGAGGAACACCAGUGGCGAAGGCGACUUUCUGGACGGUGUCUGACGCUGAGGCGCGAAAGCCAGGGAAGUGAACG